AUCGCUUCUCGGCCUUUGGCUAAGAUCAAGUGUAGUAUCUGUUCUUAUCAUUUAUAUCUGAUACGUCCCCCAUCGGGGGACUACAUAUUAAAUGGAUUUUUCGAACAGGGAGUCGGAAAUGGGGCUUGCUCCGUCGCUCCACGCAUCGACCCGGUAUUGCAGUACCUCCGGAACGGUGCGCAACAC
rnacentral:snRNA from 1 species